CUGUGCCAUUUGCCAAAACCUGUGUCAAAUCCACAACCUUCACACCCGCGACGGUGGAAAUUGACCUCUUUAGGUGGAUCUGUCACUAUAUCUGUUUCCAGCUCUCGUUCGCUCUUUACAGCUGGCUUCAAAAUGCAUGCUCUUCUCUCUCUUCCUCUCCACUUCUAUUUUCCCUUUUUCUCUUUUUCCUACCGCCACCAUCUCUCUCCAUCCUUCCUCUCCCACUCAGCUGACCCUAUACGACUCUUCUGAUUUGACUCUUCCUCAAGCUCUCGCUCACCAUCACCCUAUCUUCCUCUGUCUCUCAGUCUCACUCUCCUGAUGCGCUUUCAUCCGCCUGACGUCAGAGUGGAGAAGAAGACAGGCUCAGCCUCUCUGAUUGGUCAGAGAAGACAACACCCUCAGCCCUGGCUUACUGAGCCUGAGUGGAUGUUGGGGAUGGAUUUAAGGAAUCCCUCAGCGGCUUAUCAACACAGCUCACUUUCCCAAGGACACUGCCGAUUCCCAUAUCCAUGAUCCUGGAUUCCUGGCCUAUAUUUCCACCGUGGAAUCUGGAUCUCUGCAUUCACCUAGCCUCAAGCUUCAAAGGAAAUGUGCCUGUCAGGGAAGGCAACUUGUACCUCGCCAGGGAAACAUACAGAAUACAAACACAUCCUAGAGAAGACUGGUUUGUGUUUGAAUAAAAUCUACUGAUGGAAAGUC